AUUGAACGCUGGCGGCAUGCUUUACACAUGCAAGUCGGACGGCAGCACAGAGAAGCUUGCUUCUUGGGUGGCGAGUGGCGAACGGGUGAGUAACAUAUCGGAACGUACCGAGUAGUGGGGGAUAACUGAUCGAAAGAUCAGCUAAUACCGCAUACGUCUUGAGAGGGAAAGCAGGGGACCUUCGGGCCUUGCGCUAUUCGAGCGGCCGAUAUCUGAUUAGCUAGUUGGUGGGGUAAAGGCCUACCAAGGCGACGAUCAGUAGCGGGUCUGAGAGGAUGAUCCGCCACACUGGGACUGAGACACGGCCCAGACUCCUACGGGAGGCAGCAGUGGGGAAUUUUGGACAAUGGGCGCAAGCCUGAUCCAGCCAUGCCGCGUGUCUGAAGAAGGCCUUCGGGUUGUAAAGGACUUUUGUCAGGGAAGAAAAGGCUGUUGCUAAUAUCAUCAGCUGAU
rnacentral:rRNA from 1 species